rnacentral:rRNA from 1 species
GGUUACUGCUAUCGGUGUUCGCCUAAGCCAUGCGAGUCAUAUGUUCGUAAGAACAUGGCGUACUGCUCAGUAACACGUGGAUAACCUGCCCUUGGGUCCGGCAUAACCCCGGGAAACUGGGGAUAAUUCCGGAUAACGCACAUAUGCUGGAAUGCUUUUUGCGUAAAAUGGAUUCGUCUGCCCAAGGAUGGGUCUGCGGCCUAUCAGGUAGUAGUGGGUGUAAUGUACCUACUAGCCUACGACGGGUACGGGUUGUGAGAGCAAGAGCCCGGAGAUGGAUUCUGAGACAUGAAUCCAGGCCCUACGGGGCGCAGCAGGCGCGAAAACUUUACAAUGCGGGAAACCGUGAUAAGGGGACACCGAGUGCCAGCAUCCUAUGCUGGCUGUCCGGGUGUGUAAAAUACACCUGUUAGCAAGGGCCGGGCAAGACCGGUGCCAGCCGCCGCGGUAACACCGGCGGCCCGAGUGGUGAUCGUGAUUAUUGGGUCUAAAGGGUCCGUAGCCGGUUUGGUCAGUCCUCCGGGAAAUCUGACAGCUCAACUGUUAGGCUAUCGGAGGAUACUGCCAGACUUGGAACCGGGAGAGGUAAGAGGUACUACAGGGGUAGGAGUGAAAUCUUGUAAUCCCUGUGGGACCACCUGUGGCGAAGGCGUCUUACCAGAACGGGUUCGACGGUGAGGGACGAAAGCUGGGGGCACGAACCGGAUUAGAUACCCGGGUAGUCCCAGCCGUAAACGAUGCUCGCUAGGUGUCAGGCAUGGCGUGACCGAGUCUGGUGCCGCAGGGAAGCCGUGAAGCGAGCCACCUGGGAAGUACGGCCGCAAGGCUGAAACUUAA